rnacentral:lncRNA from 1 species
UUUUUUUUUCAUUUUUUCAUAUAUAUAAAGAUGUUAGUAACAUAGAAACAUCAUAGCAACCCCCAGCAGUUAAUGACCUAGCCCCUUUGCUGUGGAAAGUCGUCUGAGCCCAAUAGAAAGGUACCAGGCCAUGAUGCCAACUACAUCUCUGCAGGCUGACCAGGGAAGUCCUGAGUUUGGAUUUAUCCACACACGCAGACAAUAUGCUACUUUGUAUAGUUCUGACUGUGACCACAGACCACAGGCAGCUCCCACGAUGCUUUUUCUCCAGGGCAUCAGGAGAAAAACAAGCUGGUGUAUUGAAACCACACUGACAUUCACUAUUCUAACACCAGGAAAGGAAAUAUUAAUCCAGUAAUGUCAAGUUUUGAAAAGGCCCAAAGUGCAAAACCUGGGAUUUCACAUUUGAGAAAAAAUAAAUAAAUAGUACCUUCUCAGGCCCAUAUUAUACCCCCUGAAGAGAAAUUUUGAAAUGACAAAUAUAGGACCUGACAGAUCUGAGUCCACAGAAUGUACGGUUGGCCUCUUGCACCAGCUCCAACAUUUUCUUGUAAAGAGAAGAAAUAGUGGAAACUGUCUCUCUGCCACCACAAUGCACUAUUAAUGUCUUAGCAGCAUCCUUGACUUGGGAAUACAGAACACGUUUUUGAUGCUGUAGUUCUGAUUUUUUUAAGUGAACCCAGCUGAAGCAUGCAAACUUUGUCUAUGAUGGUGUUUCUUACCACUUCCUUCUUUUUUAAAAAAAUUGAUUCCCCCCCACUAAAUAUCAUGUCAUAACUUCAGCCACUUGAGAUUGUGAAAGGCAACUGACUCUCUUUCCAGUGUUCACCUCCAUUUCCCUCUCCAAAAAUGUAACCAAGAUUAUGAUGUCAGGACAGUUCACAUUAAUGGGAAAUAUUAACAAGAAUUAAAUAAUGUUUCUGAAAGUACAUUUAAAAGUAUGAAUUAUUAUCGUGUCCCAGAAAAUAGAACGUUCCUUGACCAAGUGGCCACUGUCAGCUUGAGGAGUUAGGGAAGGAAGGACUGAGACAGAAAGGAGGACAUCCUGCCAAGAGUCAGAACCAGGCAGAAGAAAGGCCUCUUCCCAGAAGAGGCUGGGAGCUAGCAGGGGUGUGGUUUGAGCAUUCUGGGGUGAUAUUUGUACUGACCAGGACCAGCAUCUCAGCAAAAGCUCCACCAGGGAUCAGAGACACAACUGAGACAGAGCUGGGACUUCAGGCUGGGGAUGCUCAGGCCCAAACUAAAGAGUACACAUUUCCUGCCCAAGGGCUCAGAGGUCCUGGCAUGGUAUUGAAGAACUGAGUACCACCCAUACUGGUUAACAUCCCCCAAAAGCACGUUCUCCUUGAGCCCUUGGACUGGGACCAGGAUUUUUUUUUUUUUAAUGGCUGCACUCACAACAUAUGCAAGUUUCUGGGUCUGGGAUUGAGUCCAAGCUGCAGCAAGCCACAGCUACAGCAAUGCCACUUUAACCCACUGCUCUGGUCGAACCCAUGCCUCCACAGAGAUCUGAGCCACCACAGUUGGCUUCUUAGCCCACUGUGGGAACUCCUACUUUUCUUUUUUUUAAUUGACUUGUUAUUUUUUUUUAAUGAAGUUGUACUUGACAUAUAGCACAUGACCUUAGUGCUUAUGAUCACUUUCUCAGUAAUGAACAUAACAAAAGUAUUCUAUAUUUGCUAUUUUAAAUUAAUUGUUGGGAGUUCCCAUUGUAGCUCAGCGGUAUCCAUGAGGAUGCAGGUUCCAUCCCUGGCCUUGCUCAGUGGGUUAAGGAUUCGGCAUUGCUGUGAGCUGUGAUCCUUAACCCACUGAGUAAGGCCAGGGAUUGAAUCCUCAUCCUCAUGUAUACUAGUUGGCUCAUUACCACUGAGCCACAUCAGGAACUCUAAGAGAAGCAUUUACUCUGUGUCUUAUAACACUCAGCAAUCUGGGGCUUCAAGACCUUCCCUGAGAUCCAGUAGAGAAAAGGAAUGAAGGCUCCUGAACCUGGAAUAAAGCCACAGGCCAGUCAUUCUUGAUAGGUAAGCAGAAAAGGAGUUCAUGUUGGAGUCUCCCAGUGUCCCUCCGGAAUGCCCCUCUGAGGUUUUGGCUGAGUGGGGGGAAAUCCAUGUCAUCGCCUUCCCACCACUCAAUAGUCACAGCUAUUAGUGGCUUCCAGAGGCAUUCAAGGCGAAGCUUAGGUCAUGUGGGGCUGAACAAUGAGAUUCCUGCUCCCAAGGACAGAGGAAAACUAAUUUCAUUUCACAGUCAGCACACAUACUACUUCCACUUGAGACUUUUUUUUUUUUUCAGUCCAAAGCACUGUCCAAACUGAAGGUUAUGGUGGGAAAUAGCUGUCUAUGAUAUUCUGAGGCCUUCCAGGGGAUUGGGCUGUGACCCUGUCUGUUUUUUGAUUCAGCCAGUGAGGACUUUCUGCACUGAGAUCUGCCGGCAUCUAGCUUGAGGGAAAAUUCCCAGACAGACCAUGAUUCCUCCAUGCUUGUGGUGCUGCGAUGAUGUCAGAGCUUCGCUUGAGUUAGAAUUUGGGUCUCUGAGCACUUCGCAACAGAGAUCUAGGGCUUCUUUAGAUGAAGAGUGAUUAAGGAAGGGUAGAGGAUAGAAGAGACAAAUGAAAUUUCUGGGAAAAACUAGCAUGAUCUCAGAUGAAAGGGUCCUUUUUUUUAAGUCUUGAAAGGUACAUCCAAAAGACAAAGCAUUACAUUGCUGCUGCAAAAAAACCUUCCCUCACUGCAUGUGAUAUGACAGUAUCCUUUUGCCCCAUAUCCUCUGCUUUAAUACCAUGUCAUACUGGCUGACAGUAAUGCUGGUAAAUCUUUGUUGCUAGAGCAGAUCACUCUGGUGCAAGUUACCCUCACCUAUUUCAUUACACUAUGGAAUCCUGAUACCUCAAAGAGUGAUACUGCGUCUGUGAAUCUGUUCUAUUAUUUAUAUAUCCAUAUUGUCCAGACAACAUCCAUCUAACUGGCUCAGCAUAUCAUCUAGCACAGAUAUUCCCCGACUACCUUACAAUUGAACUCCCCCUUAAUUCUGUGCUUUCUCAUGUGUGUCCAAGUCAGAAAUUAUUAGAGGCUAUUGGGUACUUUUUGAGUCCCUUCAGGCUACCACCAUGCAAAAGGGAAAUAGCUCCCUUCAGCUGCUAGUGAAAAGCCCUUCUGUUAGGCAGAUUCUCUCUAUGUAAUUAGCUUACACUGCUUUCCAUCUUUGGCAGCAGUAACAGGCCAUUUCAAAUAUGGAGACUUGAAGAAAGAUCAUGGAAAAUGAGGAUAGGAGGAGCCAUAGCUACUGGUGGAGAUGUUUACUUCCAUAUGUUAUGCAGAGUGCACAUCUUGUAAUUUUGUAUCUGUGAAUGGGUGGAGAAUCAAGAAACAGACAUGAAGUCAGGUAUCCAGCUCUGAAUUGCAGCCAUAUAUUUUAAAAAACACUUGCUUAAGAGAUUGACUGUAUCAUCAUAAAGGAUCCUGUUCUCUCACCAGCAUAAUCAGAGCUGCUUUUAACACACCACAAAUGAAAACCUUUCACUUCCAUACACCAUGCCAGAGUCUUCCUCUGGGCCCUCUUAUUUCUCUAGAAUGACACACAGGGCUGUUUUGCCAUGAAACAGAGCACCGACAAUCCCUGACGCUGCAUCCAACCUUUUAACCUAAAGGGACGUCAGGGCAUCCAAGCUCAUCCAAGGUUUGUCAGGAUCCAUCAGAGACCUGCAAGCUCAACUAGAAAGGGAUGGAGGGGAGAGGGAAAGGAACCUCUCCUGAGACACUGACUGACAAGCUGCCAGAGCUUCAGGGGUAUUGUUCCAUCGAAACUUCUCAGCCACCCAGCAGAUAGCAUCGUCUCUAAAUUACACAUGAGAAAACGAAUGGUGAAGAGCGUUUCAUAAACUGGCCCAGGUCACACGAUUUAAGCCUAGGUCUAGGGUCAAACACUAGUGCUCUUUCCACUUCACUACACUUCCCCGUUCUGGAGCACAUUGACCAGGCCUGAGAAAAUAAGAAAAGCUUAAUCAUUUAUAUUUUAUCUUAAAAGCAAGAAUAAGUCAGCAUUUACUUUAAAAUUGUUAUCUUCUGUAUAAUACUCUGGAAAAAUGUAGAAAACUUAUUGAAGGUGGGUAAGAUUGAAGAUAAGAGCAUAAUGAGAAGGCUACUGCAAUAUUCCAAGAGAGUGUUGAUGGGGUUGAAAAUAAGGCAUGUAUUAGUUUGGAUGCUAUGAUUUCAAGCAAGCAAACAAAGAUAUCCAGACCCUUUGGCUAUGCUGAAAGAGCCUUCACUGGAAGAAUCUGAUGGACUCACAUGAUUGCCAGGAAUCUAGAGAGCAAGAUUUGAAAAUGUACCAUCACCAAAAGGUCCUAAAGCCUAGUGGACAGGAAGAAGAGAAGGCUUCAUGCAAUAAAACCAAUCUGGUUGGAAUUGCGUGCCUCUCUCCCUACCCUGCAAUGUAUGGCCUCCAACCCAUCCUCUGUCAUUCAACCCCUCACUCAAGUCUCAGAGACCUGGGACAGAACAGCUCCAUGGCCAAGCCUAGGUCACACCUCAGAGUUCUGCUUUGGAAAAUGGUCAAGAAGAGGAAAGAUCUUGGAUUCCACUUGAAAUUAACUCCUAAAAAGAGGGUACAUCAUGAGUGAGAGGUAAUUGGCCCCAGUGGAAAUCCAAGUACUACUCAGAAAUUAGAAUGGAUGAUGGGCAGCCACAAAAUGAUCCAUGUUCACAAGAAACACUCAACAGUGAAUUUGGGAAGGAGAUGAUGGCUUUGGAAGUGCUAUAAGCAUCAAACACUUAUUGAGUCUACUGUGUGCAAGGCCAGGGACUAGAUGCUACUGGAGAUAUAAGGAAGAAUGAAAUUCACACCAAAUAUGAGACCCAAACACAAGAAAGAAAACUAGCAAUACGAAAUCACAUGUAUCAUGUAUAGAUGCUGAUGAUAAGGGCAUAUGAAAUUCAAAGAACAGAGAGAUUCCCAAAUUUAAUAUAAUUAGGAAAGGCAUCCUGGGCAUUGUGAAACUGGAAUAAGAUGUAGAGUUGGGGACAUCAGAUAAGAAAAGAGAGUGCUUUCUAGGCAGGAAGGAUGAUCUGAGCAGAGGCAGGGAGGUGCAACAUACAAGAUGCACUUAGGAAACCAUUUAUAUACACAGAGCUCAAGGGAAGAGAGGUUAUAGAAGAAACUAUUCCAGACUGAGGGUCAAUGAUAGAUGCACAAAAUAAUUGGAACCUUCCCCCUUCUCUUCUUGGUCAAUUACAAGCAGUUCCAUUCCAAGACUUUAGGGAGGAAAUAAGGAAGGUGUAUUUUCAGGGCUGAAGAUUUGGCUCAAAUAUGUCAGGGAUAGUGAGGGGAGGAAGAAAACAGACCUGAGAGAGACUGGCACUGCUCUUCAAAUUCAUGAUUCCCCAUCCUGGACCAGAGCUGAACUCAUCUGGCUCAUUGUCAAACUGCCAAAUGCCCUGACCACCCCAGCUUCCCACCAUCCUCCCUGCUUCUCCACUAUCCUACCCUUCAGCAACAUUGUCUCUCAUCAACCUGAAGAGCCAAGAACCAAGGAGAGGAGUCAUACUAGAACAGAGAGUAGGAUCCUGGAUCCUCCUGAACCCUGGCCCCCCCGAACCCUGGCUUCCCACUGGCAGGAGUCUUUUUCCCUGGCAGCUGCUUUAACACCAGAACCAGACCUAAUGGGAUGGGCAUUCUCCUCAGGGCUUGCGCACCCUCAGCAUUUCCACUUUACUGAAGUGGUACAGCCAAUGGUGUAAAGGGACAGUGUGCUAUUACACUACCAGCUGUUAUUUCUUAGAAUCAUUCAGGCCUCCAGGGAUCUGCCAGCAAUUCUAGAUGCUUUCAUUUCCAGACACCUGCAGAUUCCAUGAGGUCCUCUGCUGUUCUUCUUCCCUCUCCCAUUCUGGGGCAUAACACACCAAGCUACCUACAGGAUUCCAGAGGACCAAGACAUGUGGCAUCACAGGCAAUAGGUAGCACCAAGGGCAGACUUUUGCUUCAAGGAGAUGCAGAGGAGGGGUAGGAUACGUAUUCCCCAUCAGAGAGGAAUGGCCCAGGCAGCUUGUUUUCUUCUCAAAGUCCUAUUUUCCUUGUGGGUCAUGGUAACAUUAGCUAUCUUCUAAAGCUAAGCCCAAAUUGAUAGCCAAUGUUAAUAGUAUCUAAAGCUUUCCAUGUUUUUAGUUCUUUACAACAAUGAGUAGACUGACCAAGAGAAGCCAGAAUUGUGGUCCAGGCUCAAUGGAGAGAUGAAAAUCUCAUUGCAUGAAAUUUACCACUCAGACAAGCCUGGGACACCCAAUUCUCUUCAAAAACCAUUGUGCAUAUUAUCCAAGAGAAGCCACAGAACUCUCAGGCUCAGCUUGAAUGGAAACAAAGCAAAAUGUGUAUAAUUCACC